rnacentral:lncRNA from 1 species
ACGGCCCCUCUCAGUACUGUAUGGAAUAGGUAUGCCUCUCAGUGUUUUCCAAUGAUAGCUGUAGCCCUGUCCUGGCCAACUGGUCAGCUGAGCUACCCUUUGCACAGAUGUAUGUGGGAUAGUCUUGGAGCCUAUCCUGUGUACGUGGGAUAGUCUCGGAGCCUAUCCUAUACCACAAGCAGCUUUGGAAUAAACAUCCUCUUUGGUGUGGAAUGAGAGCUUAGUCAUCCAAGGAAAAAAUGCGAAAAGAGGGAGGAAAUGAUUACCUCUGCUUCUUAAAAUCUUUUUGAAUGAACAUGGGUGGAACUGGAAGCGAUUAUCCUCAGCAAACUCAUGCAGGAACAGAAAACCAAAUACCACACGUUCUCACUUAUAAGUGGAGGCUAAAUGAGGAGAACACACUGGGGGCAACACCAGACACUGGGGCCUAACAGAUGAUGGAAGGUGGGAGGAGGGAUAGGAUCAGGAAAAAUAAUUAAUAGCUACUAGGCUGAGUACCUGGGUGAUGAAAUAAUCUGUACAACAAACCCCCUAUCACACGAG